AACGAACGCUGGCGGCAGGCUUAACACAUGCAAGUCGAACGGGUGUAGCAAUACAUCAGUGGCAGACGGGUGAGUAACACGUGGGAACCUUCCUAGGGGUACGGAACAACUCAGGGAAACUUGAGCUAAUACCGUAUACGUCCGUGAGGAGAAAGAUUUAUCGCCCUUAGACGGGCCCGCGUCGGAUUAGCUAGUUGGUGGGGUAACGGCCUACCAAGGCGACGAUCCGUAGCUGAUCUUAGAGGAUGAUCAGCCACACUGGGACUGAGACACGGCCCAGACUCCUACGGGAGGCAGCAGUGGGGAAUCUUGGACAAUGGGCGCAAGCCUGAUCCAGCCAUGCCGCGUGAGUGAAGAAGGUCUUCGGAUUGUAAAGCUCUUUUG
rnacentral:rRNA from 1 species